GGAGAGAUGGUUGAGUUGGUUGAAGGCGCUCGCCUGGAAAGCGGGUAUACGUGAUUAAGCGUAUCAGGGGUUCGAAUCCCCUUCUCUCCGCCA
rnacentral:tRNA from 3 species